rnacentral:rRNA from 1 species
GCUUGCUCCUCUGACGUUAGCGGCGGACGGGUGAGUAACACGUGGAUAACCUACCUAUAAGACUGGGAUAACUUCGGGAAACCGGAGCUAAUACCGGAUAAUAUAUUGAACCGCAUGGUUCAAUAGUGAAAGACGGUUUUGCUGUCACUUAUAGAUGGAUCCGCGCCGCAUUAGCUAGUUGGUAAGGUAACGGCUUACCAAGGCAACGAUGCGUAGCCGACCUGAGAGGGUGAUCGGCCACACUGGAACUGAGACACGGUCCAGACUCCUACGGGAGGCAGCAGUAGGGAAUCUUCCGCAAUGGGCGAAAGCCUGACGGAACAACGCCGCGUGAGUGAUGAAGGUCUUCGGAUCGUAAAACUCUGUUAUUAGGGAAGAACAUAUGUGUAAGUAACUGUGCACACCUUGACGGUACCUAAUCAGAAAGCCACGGCUAACUACGUGCCAGCAGCCGCGGUAAUACGUAGGUGGCAAGCGUUAUCCGGAAUUAUUGGGCGUAAAGCGCGCGUAGGCGGUUUUUUAAGUCUGAUGUGAAAGCCCACGGCUCAACCGUGGAGGGUCAUUGGAAACUGGAAAACUUGAGUGCAGAAGAGGAAAGUGGAAUUCCAUGUGUAGCGGUGAAAUGCGCAGAGAUAUGGAGGAACACCAGUGGCGAGGGCGACUUUCUGGUCUGUAACUGACGCUGAUGU